rnacentral:misc_RNA from 1 species
GUUCCCAUAAGCCUAAACAAUUAUGCCUGGAAAAUGCUUAUAAAGAUGGGAUCUUUAUUGUUGAAUAUAGACUUUGGAAUACCAUGCAAGUGAAUGAUCUCUCGAGUAAACACUUUUCCCACCGUUUUGGCACUGAAUGGAUGUUUGAGGGAUGUGAAAUACGCAAACUUAGAGAUAUGUAAUAAAGCCUUUCUAAAAUAGGUGAUGAGUUUUUUAUCUUAUCUUGGGUGAG